AGUGAACGCUGGCGGCAGGCCUAAUACAUGCAAGUCGAACGGCAGCACAGCAGAGCUUGCUCUGUGGGUGGCGAGUGGCGGACGGGUGAGGAAUACGUGGGAAUCUGCCCAGUCGUGGGGGAUAACGUAGGGAAACUUACGCUAAUACCGCAUGCGCCCUUCGGGGAAAGCCGGGGACCUUCGGGCCUGGCGCGAUUGGAUGAGCCCACGUCGGAUUAGCUAGUUGGCGGGGUAAAGGCCCACCAAGGCGACGAUCCGUAGCUGGUCUGAGAGGAUGAUCAGCCACACUGGAACUGAGACACGGUCCAGACUCCUACGGGAGGCAGCAGUAGGGAAUAUUGGACAAAUGGGGCGCAAAGCCUGAUCCAGCCAUGCCGCGUGAGUGAAGAAAGGCCCUCGGGUUGUAAAGCUCUUUUGUCCGGAAAGAAAAGCGCCGGGUUAAUACCCUGGUGUCCUGACGGUAACCGGAAGAAUAAGCACCGG
rnacentral:rRNA from 1 species